ensembl:lncRNA
ACAAACCAAAAACAAACCGUUUGACUGGUGUGAAAAGAACAAUAAAAGCUUUGAAAGAACCCUUAGAGUUACCAAUGAGCCCUAGUGCUUCAAACCUGAACCUAUAGUUACCAGUCAGCCACAGUACAGUAUUGAAACGCCUGGUUAUAAAGUCAGAAAACAUCAUCUUUCUGAAGAAUUCAAGUUCAAGCCGUGGCUCAGAAAAUCAACCGCAACCAUCCUCAACAUCUGCUGGGUCCUCACAUCCAAUCCGACCCAAACCCUCACCACACAUACCCUCUUCCCUGCCAACUCUGGGAAAUCCUAACAAUAUGAAAAAUACUCCUCAGUUUGUGUCAUUAUCUCAACCAGCAAAGCAAUUGGUGUCACACAAUAGCUCAGUGGCUGGAAAUCAGUUUGAGAGCACAGUACCAAACCCAGAGAAGAGAGAGCAUUCAGAGACCUCCGUUUUAUGUCCACUCAACCCUUUAAAAAACUAUGAACAACCGGAGGAGCCACUGUUCAUAGAUUUCAAGGACUUGGAUAAUAAAGAACAGAAAACAGAGCAGUGGUGGGAAAGCAUGGUGAAAAUAGAAAAGUGUGACUACCCUCGGCUAGGAAGUGUGACGCGAAACCCUGUCAAGGACGUCAGGCGCGCAGGAGAUAAAGAAAUGAAGAAAUUAAGAACUUCACAGCAGAGAAAGGUGCGAACUGGGUCUCUACGGAGACUUAAAAAAAAAAAAAAAAAAACUCAAGAAGUUGCUAACAUUGAAGCAGAGAAAGGAUUAUACCGUUAG